rnacentral:lncRNA from 1 species
CCUAUGUCAUAGAGAAUGAGUGCAUUUUCUGAAGCGUAAACACCUAUGACAAGCCUGCUUGCCUUCACUCAACCCCAAAACAUAGAACCUUUCAUUACAAGAUCUGAACCUGACAGACAAUCCAAGAAAUUACAAAAAUUUGGUACAUUCACAAAAACAGAUGAGUUUGUUUAUACAGGUUCUGAAGAUUUCUCAGGAAAGGGAGUACAGGGGGAGACAGAUCAGGUCUUUUUGUUCUUGCUUGGUCAUCCAUAG